GUCUACGGCCAUGCCACCCUGAACAUGCCUGAUCUCGUCUGAUCUCGGAAGCCAAGCAAGGUUGAGCCUGGUUAGUACUUGGAUGGGAGACCACCUUGGAAUACCAGGUGCUAUCGGCG
rnacentral:rRNA from 1 species